UUUUUUUCGCUGUCGCUGACGGUGGAGACUCCAGAGAAAAGCCUAGGAAAGCAAAGCAGAGCAGCGGAAGCAAUAUGAGUUGGGCGUGUUUGGGAGUUUCGGGCCAAUAGAAAAGCCCAGGCCCAAAUACUAGAACCCAUUAUCUUCUUUAAACCCUAUGUACUCUGGUCUCAAAACCCGUGUCCUAUCCUCGAUCUUCUCUCUCUUUGAACUGGAAAUUUUCUUCAUUUCUUGGUGCCAUUGUUUCAAGAAAUGAAUUUUGCUCGAUUAGUUACUCGUUUGGGUUUCCGAAAUCUGUCAGUUUCUUCGUUUCACUCGACAACACCACUGCCAGCCCACCAUGUAUUUGGAAGGGCAAGGAAAGACUCACUGAACGAGCUCUACCGUCGGAUUUCGCCGGUCGGAGAUCCAAAGGUCUCUAUUAUUCCGAUUCUUGACCGUUGGAUUGAAGAAGGAAGAUCCGUAAAUAAAAACCAACUCCAAGUUUUUAUCAAGGAAUUUCGGUACUACAAGCGUUACAGUCAUGCUCUUGAGAUUUCAAUGUGGAUGACUGAUAAAAGAUACUUUGCACUUACAACUCGUGAUGUUGCCCUCCGGCUGGACUUGAUAUCAAAAGUUCAUGGUAUAGAACAAGCGGAGAGAUAUUUCAAUAAUAUUCCACAACAACUCAAAGUCCUUGAGGUUUAUGGUGCGCUUCUCAACUGCUAUGCCUAUGCAAGAUCUGUUGAAAAAGCAGAGGCAGUAAUGCAGAAGAUGAGGGAUUUGGGUUUCUGUAGGGAAACAUUGACUUACAAUGUAAUGCUUAAUCUUUAUUAUCAGACUGGAAAUGUUGAGAAAUUUGAUGCACUAACGCAUGAGAUGGAAGAAAAUGGCAUUGCUUAUGACAAAUUUACACUUACCAUUCGACUGAGUGCAUAUGCAGCUGUUUCUGACAUUGAGGGAAUGGAGAAGACUAUAAAAAAGAUGGAAUCUGAUUCAAGGGUUGUUUUGGACUGGGCUAUUUAUGCUGCCGCAGCAAGUGGGUAUACAAAAGCUGGGCUUGUGGACAAGGCUUUGGAAAUGCUGAAGAAAUCUGAGGGACUUAUUACUAGCAAAAAAAGAAGUACAGCAUAUAAUUUCCUUCUGACACAAUAUGCUGCAACAGGGAAGAAAGAUGAAGUAUUAAGACUCUGGGAACUAUACAAGAAGAAAGCAAAGAUUUACAAUAUUGGGUAUUUUAGCAUCAUCUCGUCUCUAUCAAAGCUUGAUGACUUUGAAAGUGCAGAAAAGAUUUUCGAGGAGUGGGAAUCCCAGAAUCUAAAAUAUGAUAUUCGUGUUCCAAAUUUCCUCAUUGGUGCAUAUUCCAGAAAAGGUCAUUUGGAUAGGGCUGAAACACUUAUCAACAGGGUAAUAUCGAAAGGAGAGAAACCUGAUGCGUUUACAUGGUUUCAUUUGGCAGAAGGAUACCUUCAGAAUAAUCAGAUUUCAAAUGCUGUUGAAAUGAUGAAAAAAGCAGUGGUAGUUUCUACACCCGGGUGGAAGCCAACCUGUGAAAGUGUGACUUCCUGUCUGGAGCACUUGAAAGAGGUGGGAGAUUUAGACAAAGCAGAAGAGUUGAUAAAAUUACUUCUUGACAAAGACAUUAUUUCUUUAGAUGUCCAAGAAAGAUUGUUGAAUGGUAUGAAAGCUGAGAAUUCAAGCUUGGUUACACUUGGGGCAUUAAAUGAUGAUUAAUUGCUUCAAAAUGGCAACACAUUGAGUAGUUCUUGGAGCCAGAGGGGGAUAGUAGUUAUUGGAUAUCAGAGGAGAAAUGUGUAAUGCAAAUCUGAAAAGUCUCUUAAAUGUGAGAGCAAAAGAAAUGAAGCAGAUGUGGGAAAGACUUAGGAUGUUCAUUCUAGGAAAUAUAUUUAUCUGUUAUGAACUGGUCCAUGAUUAAAAGCAAGCUACGUCCUGUUUCUUCAUUUCAGAUUAGCAAAGAAAACUGUUAUUUAAUUGCUUGAUCAAAAUGCUUUUAGUUUGUUGAAAACAUGGAAGCUUGAGAGACUGAUUUCUCACUUUGUUGAAUCUAGGUGGCUGCGGCCAAACAUUCAGAACAACUAUAGAUGGAUAGUUGUGGCUGAAUUUUAGUAAGAGAGCACCAAUUUGCUUCCAUUUUGUUGAAAAAUGGGUAGUCUGGUGAUUGAUUGGAACGGAGCGAAAGAUCAUGUACCUUCCAAUUUAAGAACAAUUUAAAAUCUUUUAACUUAAUGAUUUU
rnacentral:misc_RNA from 1 species